UGUUCCCUGCGGUGUUCGAGGCUGGUUGCAAUUUCUCUGAACCAAUGCAUACGUGCAAGGCUGCGGUCUAUUCCGAUGCGGGUGUGCGCGUGACAUGUCUCAUGUGCCCAAAGUGUCUUUGAACGCGGCCGUCUUGAACCCAGGUUCAAGAGUCCGCAGCCAGUCACGGCACAGGCGGGGAACCC
rfam:Thiobacillus sp. 65-1059 scnpilot_expt_750_p_scaffold_871, whole genome shotgun sequence.